CCCCUUUCCUUUACCCUAACUUAUUAUAUCCUCAUUUCCUACCUAUACAGUAUAAUACAGAAUACACUCGCCGUUUCUACCCUAUUUCAGGGUUAAUCGCCGGGCGUCGGCUGCGCCGCUUCUGAAAUUUUCUUAUCGAGUUAUUUCCAUUCAGUUUCUUCACUCAAAAUCCCUCCUUUCUCCCAUAGAUCUGGUAAUUCUCUUUCUCCAAAUGGGUUCUUUCAAUUUUUUAGAAAUUUGGUUAUUGUUUUAAGUAUCCCGGCAACAUGGUCUCCAGCAGCUUCUACGAAGUUGAACUUCAUAUAUGUCAAAGUUUUUGUGUAAUAUAUAAAUCGUUUGAUUCUGUAGACCUGGAGUUUGUGUAAUAGCAGGCAAUGGGUGGCGGAUGAUAUAUUAAUGUAUCUUUUGUUUCUUUUCCUUAACUUUUAGAAAUUGCAUGAGCAUACCAGAGUGGGAAGACUGGAACUGAUUUGAUGCUUUGAUAAUCAUGUUAAUGCCCU
rnacentral:lncRNA from 1 species